rnacentral:lncRNA from 1 species
GGUGUGGGAGAGAGUAUCUGCCGGUAAUUGAGAAGACUAGUCGGAGGGAAACAGGGAGAGGGGAUUAGGGGACUGCAACUUGUUAAUUAAUUAACUUCACUUCAGUUUAACUUCCUAUGAUCCACACCAAUCUUAAUUCAGUUUGGUCACCUUAACUAAACUAGUAAAAGUUGUUUGACUCGCAUGUGUAAUUAUCCAGGGCUGGCUUCACUAGGAAAUAUUGCACCUUGGGUUCAUUAGUUACCCCAUCUUGCAGGUUGAUUCAUUGGCUCUGUAUGAGGAGUAGAGAUGAACAAGUGUGCGCUGCUAGUUUUGUAGUUAUGCGGUUUUUAGUUCAGCCAUGUAUGUAUUUGCCGAUCAUUCAUAGUUCUGCACUUAAAAUUCAGCAAAUUCAUAGUGUGAAAUUAGCAUUAAAGAAAUUAAACCGCUUGCAUUUCAUGGACCAGCUUUAGCACUUGCUAGCUUUGAUCUAUGCAUAUACAAC